UACGAAGGUGGCAAGCGUUGUUCGGAUUUACUGGGCGUACAGGGAGCGUAGGCGGUUGGAUAAGCCCUCCGUGAAAUCUCCAGGCUUAACCUGGAAAGUGCAGAGGGGACUGUUCAGCUAGAGGAUGGGAGAGGAGCGCGGAAUUCCAGGUGUAGCGGUGAAAUGCGUAGAUAUCUGGAGGAAUACCGGUGGCGAAGGCGGCAUCCUGGACCGGCAUUGACGCUGAGGCGCGAAAGCCAGGGGAGCAAACGGG
rnacentral:rRNA from 1 species